rnacentral:antisense_RNA from 1 species
CUUCAGGGAGCCGAGCCACAGCGGCUGCUCCGGGUUCCGGUCCCGGCCGUAGGUGGCCAGCAGGGCCUGGGCCUC